AGAGGGACCAGACGUGCAACCAGGUUUCUGUCCAAUCUCCCUGAUACAGGUUCUUAUAUAUUCAAAGUAAUAAGUACUAGGUAAAUAAGGUGAGUUAGACUUAUGUUUGUUUUCUCUAUUUGCAAAUGUGUAUUUGGCUGGAAGGAUUUUAAAUUUAUAUUUUGCUG